AACGAACGCUGGCGGCAUGCCUAACACAUGCAAGUCGAACGAGACCUUCGGGUCUAGUGGCGCACGGGUGCGUAACGCGUGGGAACCUGCCCUUAGGUUCGGAAUAACUCCCCGAAAGGGGUGCCAAUACCGGAUAAUGUCUUCGGACCAAAGAUUUAUCGCCUUUGGAUGGGCCCGCGUAGGAUUAGCUAGUUGGUAGGGUAAAAGCCUACCAAGGCGACGAUCCAUAGCUGGUCUGAGAGGAUGAUCAGCCACACUGGGACUGAGACACGGCCCAGACUCCUACGGGAGGCAGCAGUGGGGAAUAUUGGACAAUGGGCGAAAGCCUGAUCCAGCAAUGCCGCGUGAGUGAUGAAGGCCUUAGGGUUGUAAAGCUCUUUUACCCGGGAUGAUAAUGACAGUACCGGGAGAAUAAGCUCCGGCUAACUCCGUG
rnacentral:rRNA from 1 species